rnacentral:rRNA from 1 species
AGAACGAACGCUGGCGGCAUGCCUAAUACAUGCAAGUCGAACGAACUCUUCGGAGUUAGUGGCGCACGGGUGCGUAACGCGUGGGAAUCUGCCCUUGGGUUCGGAAUAACAGUUGGAAACGACUGCUAAUACCGGAUGAUGACGAAAGUCCAAAGAUUUAUCGCCCAGGGAUGAGCCCGCGUAGGAUUAGCUAGUUGGUGAGGUAAGGCUCACCGAAGGCGACGAUCCUAGCUGGUCUGAGAGGAUGAUCAGCCACACGUGGGACUGAGACACCGGACCCAGACUCCGUACGGGAGGCAGCAAGGUAGGAAUAGUUAGGACGUAAGUGGGACGAAA